rnacentral:lncRNA from 1 species
GCUAAGGAGGUGAGGUCGAAGAUGGCUGAGGUACAGAGGAAGGCAGACAUGGCUGAGGAGAGGGCCCUCAAAGUAGAAAGGGUUGAGAAGAAGGCUCAGGUGAUCCUAGCCGAAGUAGGGACAAACAUUGAGUGCCUAAAAAAGGUGCUAAAGUAGUUGGAGGAGAGGCUCAUGACUGUUGAUGCGAAGGCCGAUAAGGUGGA